CAAUACAAUAUGCAGGUGCAGCAUUAUUUUCAGACACACACUUUAAGCUGUUCUACUCCUCGUUAUCUCACCAAACGUUCCCCUCCCAACAAAUCCAUUUUCCGUGGGACCCGAGUUAGUUUCCGGCAUACCCAUUUCCAUCAGUUUCCUUUGGGCUUGAAUCUUGGAGGUGCCAUAAACUCGUCUUCAGAGGGACAGAACUCGAGCACAAGUGCAGAGACAACAAGAAAAGUUGUAGAACACAUAUGUUUGCUUAAAGCAAAGGAUGAUUUAUCCGAUGAGGAUGAAAAGGACAUGCUGGAUUUUCUAUAUACCUGUCAAUAUCAAAUGCGUGGCAUUCUUGCCAUCUCAUUAGGACGUAUCUUGUAUCAGAAUCUCGAAAGCUAUACACAUGCUGUCUUCAUGCGUUUUCAGAAAAGGGAAGAUCUUGCAAAGUUCUAUGAAAACCCAUUCUACUUGGGAGUCUUGAAGGAUCAUGUAACACCUUACUGUCAUGAACUCACUUAUUUUGAUUUUGAAUCUGAAGUAGAAGACGAUAUACUUCCCAUUUUUCGGAAAGGAGAGGAGUUUAAUUUUGGUGUGGAAUUCAUAAUUCUUCUUUCAUUUAAAGAGAAUUCAUCGGAGGAAGUGGUAAAUGAUGCACUAAGUUCUUUCACAAAGUUGCUAUUGGAAUUUCCUUCAUUAGUUGUCCAAACUACAAAAGGAUCAAACUUUAAUCCUGGCAGCAAAGAGUACACACAUGCUGUAGUGAUACGAUUUCGAUCAUCGGAUGCUUUUGAAAUAUUCAUGGGCAGUUCAGAAUACAAAGCUAUAUGGAGGUUUAAGUUUCAGCCGAUUACUUUGAAGAAACUGUCCAUUAGCUUUUCUGUAGAUCCAGUUGGAAAUGAGUUAAUGUAACAAGCUUCACUGAUUUUAGGGUUACUUAAAAAGCCAUUCUUGUUUGUGGAUGUUUUGCUUUUUAUGGAAAGGACUAAAGGGUUGCCUAUGUUGAGAGUGGAAAGUGAAAAUCAAUCUGUAGAAACUUUUUAUAUGUUUCUGUAAUAGUAUUCAACUAAUAUUGAUGUCAGUGUCGUGAGUGUUUUAUAUUCUAUAUGCAAGUGAUUUGAUGCUUCAGUCUGUAACAGUCUAAUCAAUAGUUUAUCCACUGAUAAGACAUCAAAGUUUUGGACCA